rnacentral:rRNA from 1 species
AGAGUUUGAUCAUGGCUCAGAUUGAACGCUGGCGGCAGGCCUAACACAUGCAAGUCGCACGCGAAAGUUCUUCGGAAUGAGUAGAGUGGCGGACGGGUGAGUAACGCGUAGGAAUCUGUCCAGUAGUGGGGGAUAACCCGGGGAAACUCGGGCUAAUACCGCAUACGCCCCAAGGGGGAAAGCGGGGGAUCUUCGGACCUCGUGCUAUUGGAGGAGCCUGCGUCGGAUUAGCUAGUUGGUAGGGUAAAGGCCUACCAAGGCGACGAUCCGUAGCUGGUCUGAGAGGAUGAUCAGCCACACCGGAACUGAGACACGGUCCGGACUCCUACGGGAGGCAGCAGUGGGGAAUAUUGCGCAAUGGGCGAAAGCCUGACGCAGCCAUGCCGCGUGUGUGAAGAAGGCCUUCGGGUUGUAAAGCACUUUCAGUGGGGAGGAAAGGGCGCUGGCUAAUAUCCAGCGCAGUGACGCUACCCACAGAAGAG